rnacentral:rRNA from 1 species
CAGCCGCCGCGGGAAUACGGAGGGUGCAAGCGUUAAUCGGAUUUACUGGGCGUAAAGGGCGCGUAGGUGGUUAUGUAAGUGAGAUGUGAAAUCCCCGGGCUCAACCUGGGAACUGCAUCUUAUACUGCGUAGCUGGAGUGCAGUAGAGGGUAGUGGAAUUUCCGGCGUAGCGGUGAAAUUCGUAGAUAUUCGGAAGAACACCAGUGGCGAAGGCGACACACUGGCUCAUUACUGACGCUGAGGCUCGAAAGCGUGGGGAGCAAACAGGAUUAGAGACCCCCGUAGUCCCUGUCUCUUAUAC